rnacentral:lncRNA from 1 species
AGGCCUUGUUUAGUUGUGAAUUUUUUUUGAAAUUUGCUACUGUAGCAUUUUUGUUUUUAUUUGACAAACAUUGUUCAAUUAUGGAGUAAUUAGGCUUAAAAGAUUCGUCUCGUGAUUUAUAGGUAAACUGUGCAAUUAGUUUUUGUUUUCAUCUAUAUUUAAUACUACAUGCAUUUGUCGUAAGAUUCGAUGUGAUGGGAAUCUUGAAAAGCUUUUUUUAAUUUUUGGUGCGACUAAACAAGGCCUUAAAUGUUUUUAUGAUGCAUAUGCCCGCACGCAAAGCUGCCGGUGUGGAAAAAAGUUCUCGCCUGUACACUUCUUUCCAAGCGUAGCGUGAGUAGUCUUGUCGCGUCCAAUCACUCGUACGCCCAUCGGUAAUGGCCAUGCUAGAGCAUUUGCAUUUGUAGCUCCAUGUUUGAAGCUUUAAGGUUUGUUUAGAUCUAAAAAGUUUUUGAAUUUUAAUAAUAUAGCAAUUUCAUUUAUAUUUUACAAAUAUUAUCUAAUUAUAGACUAACUAGACUCAAAAAAUUCGUUCUGUAAAUUAUAGACAAACUAUUCUAUUAGUUAUUUUUUAAUCUAUAUUUAAUGCACCAUGUAUUUACCGUAAGAUUCGAUGUAACGAAGAAUCUUGAAAAAUUUUGAAGAAUCUUAAAAAGUUUUUGGAUUUUGCAGUUAUUAAAGUUAGUACCGCGUAUGUUGUUUUCGUUCUAUUUGACAUUUAGUGUCUAAUUGUUAGUUAAGUUUUAAAGAUUCAUCUUAUAGGUUAUGUUAAUGUCUAGCUGUGUUUUUAGUUUCAUAAAUAUUUUAUAUUUAGUAUUGCAUAUAUGUGUCAAACAUUGUAGGUGUUAAAAAAACAGAAUCAACUAAACAUAGCCUAAACUUCCUUAUCAUAUCGGAUACUAAUUAGGAGUAUUCAACAUAAGAAAUUUAGUUUGUAAAAAAAAAACUGAUUCGCAACACAAAUCAAUUAAGCCUAACUAAACCAUAAUUAACCCAUGUGAUACUAAAAUGAACCUUUGUUAAUCAAUGUUUACAUAUAGUCUUUGUACAAGCAGGCUUAAAGCCUUUGGUGCAGAUCUAAAAUAAGAGGGAAACAAAAUAAUUUAUAAAAGAAAGCUCAAGAAAAUAAACAAAAAGAUAACAACAAAUUGAAGGAAGAUAGUAAUGAAUCUAUGGAAAAAAAUUGCAAAUAAAUUGAAGGACGAAAGGAAUGGAAUUUCCUACUAACCUGAUCAGCUUUGGUAAAUUAGACUAGAAUAACCCGAGAUAAAUAAUAUUGUGGAAGACAAGGAAAGUGUCUGUUAGGUAGGAGCAGAAAAUGCAAGGCAGAACACAAAAUCGAGAUGCCGGCAAGGUUUUGCUAAGUUUACAUAAAAUUACACAAAAUAUAAAAAACAGUGAGUAGAUGUAAAAAAUAAUUGAGAGAUGGAAGAAAAAAACUAGAACCGGAAGUCGAAUCAGGACAACGGCUUCUUUCUGCUAAGUUAGAUUAUAAAAAAUGAGAUAAGAAAUAUUGGGCAAGAGAAGGAGACGGAUCUGAAGGGAAAGCAAAAUCAUAAUCAAAAUCUUGCGCAAAUUCAAGAGGUGCAAAUCCUAUGCAGAAUCUAGAGGUGCAGGUGAAUCUCCAUAUAGUAGAUUCUAAAAAAAAUAGUUAGGAUAUGGAAUAUUAGAAUGCAGAGGGAAUGAGAGAUAGGAUAUCUAAGAGCCAUCGGUGCAAUUAAAAACGAACCAGACGUACAAACUACAAGCAGGUUAUAGCCUAAAUCAAUCACAAAGGAUUAAAAAAAGGUAUAGAGCAGAUCUAAAAUUAAUUAAAAGCACCAUCCAUAUGAACUAAAAGUAGACUACAGAUUUAGGAAAAAUAAAUGUAAUAAAAUGAGAGAGAGAAGUAUUGGAUCUUGCGGAAGAGAGUGAGUGAGAAAGAGGGAGAGGAGGAAGAGAGGAGAGAGAGAGGGAAGGAGAAGACAGAGGUAGAAGACUGAGUCGGAGGGAAAGAGAGAGAGUGAGAAAGAGGAAGAAGAUGAGUCGGAGGAAACUAGGAACAAGAGAUGUGGUAAUUGAAGGGAGGGAAUAGAGAAAAGAAACAACAAGAGUUUGGGAAUCAAACAGGGAAAGGAGUGGGAUUUGCUGGCAUUGACUUGCACGCAUCUUAAAGACCUACCGGCCACUAGAUAAGAGAUGCGGCUGCAGACCGUUGUGGAAAAACCGGGUUAGGCUAGAGACCAGAGUGAACAGAUAGAAAUAAAGG